CCUACGGGAGGCAGCAGUCGAGAAUCAUUCACAAUGGGGGAAACCCUGAUGGUGCGACGCCGCGUGGGGGAAUGAAGGUCUUCGGAUUGUAAACCCCUGUCAUGUGGGAGCAAAUUAAAAAGAUAGUACCACAAGAGGAAGAGACGGCUAACGCUGUGCCAGCAGCCGCGGUAAUACAGAGGGCUCAAGCGAUGUUCGGAAUCACUGGGCGUAAAGCGUGCGUAGGCUGUUUCGUAAGUCGUGUGUGAAAGGCGCGGGCGUAACCCGCGGACGGCACCGGAUACUGCGAGAGUAGAGGAAUGGAGGGGGAACCGGAAUUCUCGGUGUAGCAGUGAAAUGCGUAGAGAGCGAGAGGAACACUCAUGGCGAAGGCGGGUUCCUGGACAUUAACUGACGCUGAGGCACGAAGGCCAGGGGAGCGAAAGGGAUUAGAUACCCCGGUAGUC
rnacentral:rRNA from 1 species